rnacentral:lncRNA from 1 species
UUUUUUUUUUUUUUUUUUUAGGUUUGUUUCUCAAUGUACUAGUUAAACGUGGUGAUCCCCAUCACUUUAGAAAUUUGGAAUUGCAAGGUUAACCCUCCAAGUAUUUAUAAUUUGGAGGUAGAAGAACCUCCGAAGUCAGGACUGGCUUUGUGACCUAACCCAAUGCCUCUCAAAUUUUCAUGCGUAUUGCAUUACCUGAAACCUUAUUAAAAUGCAAUAUCUGAUUCAGUAGUUCUGAGGCAGAUCCUGAGAGUAUGCAUUUUAAACAAGCUUCCAUGCUACUGGUCCACAGAUCACAUUUUGAGUAACAGGAUCUAAAUAGAAUUUCUUAUACAGGUUUCAUUAAAUUUCAAAAAUAUAAUACGCUUUUCUACACUACUAUAUUUUAUAUGAACACAUAAUUAAGGCAAAACAUUAACAGUAGUAUGUGCGUGCACGCACACACACAAACACAAGUGAUGCUGUUUAAUGCAAGAAAAAUGUAGAAAAAAGAUAUUAUUAUAUUACCUCUCCACUACUAACAAUUAUAAUUUGGUGCAUGGAUGCUUUGAGCUAUGAAAAAAGAUAUUCUCUCUAGUUAUCCUGGAUAAUAUAGAGGCCAAUAAUUGUUCAAAACUUGUGUGGUAAUUAAAACUACCAUAACUUUUCUAACCCUCUACCUGUUAAUUAAGUGUCUAAUUUCCGUAGGCUUCCUUUCCUCCCUGCUGGCCGGCUCUCACUUUUACUAUCAAAAAGCCUUCUCUCCAUUUUCACAAAGGUGAAAAUGAAUUUAUUCUCCAGGGAAUUAGGCACACAUACUACAGAAAUUUUCUCAUGUGUUGUAGACAUGAAUAUUCCAUGGUGAGUCUAAUUCAAUAUGGAAUAAGUAAUUUUUUUCUCUUCGAAGAAAAGGAUCACCUGUUACUUAAUAGUCAUCUUCUUAUGGCUGGCUUACAAAUUGUAUCCUCUGUCGUUUUGGAUACAUUUGUUUUACCUAGUUUUCUACUAAUUUACUAAUAGGAAUUAUAAUAAUUUAUAUAAUUAUAUAAAUUGUUAUAUAAAUUAUAAUUACUACUAAUUUGCUAUAGCACCUAAGAACUAUAUGCAGAGAUUUUAUUAAUUACAACAAUAAAACAGCUACUACUACCAUUUACUGAGUGCUCAUCUCAUGAAAAGUACUAUCAUUGUUCAUGCUUACAGAAUUCUAAAUAAGUAAGUAUAAUUGAGAACAUUAUACAGAUGAAGAAACAGAAGUUGAUAGACGUGAAAUCGCUUGGUUGGGGGUUACUUGAGCAGUAAAUGGUUCAAUUGAGGUUUGGAACCAGAUAAUUUUGGCUCCAUGAUCACAAAACAACCCUGCCUGUCUUUGAAAUUUGUUUCAUAUUAAUACAUAAUAGUUUUUCUCUUGAAGAAAGUAAUUAUAGCAAUCUUUAAAAUUGGGAGAUUCCAUCAAGUGAGAUCCAAGCAUAAGUAAAGGACAAGAGGAUCUUUUAAAAUGUUGAGUAUCCUCAGGGCAUAAAAAUAAGCCUUCUUAAGAUCAGAGAUCAUAAAAAAGAAUUUUUCAAAAACGCUUUUUAAAAAACACAAAACAAUUACUCUAACAAUUAGCUUAAGCUAGUCAAAUCUUACACAUAAACUAAGUGGCAAAGAGCAUCCAACCAAUUUAAUGAAUUCAUAAUACAGACCUUAGCAGAACUAAGAGCUCCUGGGUUUAGUUUAAGUUAACAUUGACUGGCUUAGCUCUGUGUUUGUUUUUCUGCAGUUUUUUUUUGCCCCAACAUGCCAUGAUCCUUAAUUUUAAUUCCUCCAAUGCUUGCCAUUUCCUUUGUAAAUCUUUUGGUAAGAACUUGAAAAUUAUACUUCCUAUCACUGGACUUCCUUUACUUUUGUAGUCCUCACUUCCACUCAUCUUCACAACUCCAGCCCACUCAUUCUGUGACCCCUACACUAUAAAAGUCAUCGAUGAGGGUGGGACAAACGUGAUUAGAACUAGAAUGACCUUUUUCAGAUAAAGUGAUAGGACAGUAAAAGAAGAAAUCUGAUUAGAUCCAUAGAAAUGCUUGAGAUGAGAAAAGAGAAGUCGUCAUAUGUAGGGAGGAAAAAUUAAGAAUGUCAGAGAAUUAAAAUAGAAAUGCAUUCUUUACAGAAUAUAGCUAUAAGUGACUAAAUUAUGGUGCAUCUUUUAAUGAGUCAGAACUUCUCAAUGUCAAGAUGUUUCAUGACAGAAUUGCAAUUUGCAUUGCAUUGUUCAAGUCACUGGUCUAACACUAAUGUCUGUGUUAGUAAAAUUAACUUCACUAAGUAGUAGCAUAAUGGCCUCAAAAAGACUUUGCAGGGCUCUUUCGUCUGGGCUACCACCAUGUCAUCCAAACUGAGGAGGACCCAGAAACUUCAGGGCCACAGGAGCCACAGCCACACCUGCAGAGACAAGCACCAGAACCACCCAGGAUACCUGGGUAAUGCUUGUGGCAUGCAUCACCACAGGACCAACUUCGACAAAUAUCACCCAGGUUGCUUUGGAAGAGUUGGAUGAGACAUUACCAGUUAAAGAGGAACCAGAGGGAUGCCUGGGUGGCUCAGUGGUUGAGCGUCUGCCUUUGGCUCAGGUCAUGAUCCUGGUCCAGGGAUGAGUCCCGCAGCAGGUUCCCUGCAGGGAGCCUGCUUCUCCCUUGCUUAUGUCUCCACCUCUCUCUGUGUGUCUCUCAUAAAUAAAUAAAUAAGAUCUUAAAAAAAAAAAAAAAAAAAAAAA